UACGUAGGGGGCAAGCGUUGUCCGGAAUCAUUGGGCGUAAAGCGCGUGUAGGCGGCUUUGUAAGUUAGAGGUGAAAGCCCGGAGCUCAACUCCGGAACUGCCUUUAAAACUGCAUCGCUUGAAUCCAGGAGAGGUGAGUGGAAUUCCGAGUGUAGAGGUGAAAUUCGUAGAUAUUCGGAAGAACACCAGUGGCGAAGGCGACUUACUGGACGAUUGUUGACGCUGAGGUGCGAAAGCGUGGGGAGCAAACAGG
rnacentral:rRNA from 1 species